rnacentral:rRNA from 1 species
GACGAACGCUGGCGGCGUGCUUAACACAUGCAAGUCGAACGAAGUGGCGAACGGGUGAGUAACGCGUAAUCAACCUGCCCUUCAGAGGGGGACAACAGUUGGAAACGACUGCUAAUACCGCAUACUGAAGGAGGGGAUUGCGUCUGAUUAGCUCGUGGGAGGGGUAACGGCCCACCAAGGCGAUGAUCAGUAGCCGGGCGGAAGGGGUGAACGGCCACAAUGGGACUGAGACACGGGCCAGACUCCUACGGGAGGGAGCAGUGGGGAAUCUUCCGAAAUGGAGGAAAGUCUGGCGGAGCAACGCCGCGGGAGUGAUGACGGCCUUCGGGUUGUAAAGCUCUGUUAAGCGGGACGCGGUACCGGAAGAGAAAGCCACGGCUAACUACGUGCCAGCCGCCGCGGUAAUAC